CUAUUUUAAUUAAAAACCCAAUCUAUUUACUUAUUUUUGGAAAGUUGAGCACUAAUAUUUGAUUCUUGGUUUCAUUUAUAGGUGAAAGUUCCACAUCGAACUCUGUGAGUGUCAGAGAGAAACAGAAGAAACAAGGAAGAGAGUUAGAUGAGGAUGGAUGUUCUGACCACUUCAGCCCCCCAAAAAAACAACACAGUGAGGAUAGAACCUUAGAUUUAAAUGAUGAAAUUUCCACAACAACUUCUAUCAGUGUCCAGGAGAGACAAAAGAAAC